CCUACGGGAGGCAGCAGUGGGGAAUAUUGGACAAUGGGCGAAAGCCUGAUCCAGCAAUGCCGCGUGAGUGAUGAAGGCCUUAGGGUUGUAAAGCUCUUUUACCAGGGAUGAUAAUGACAGUACCUGGAGAAUAAGCUCCGGCUAACUCCGUGCCAGCAGCCGCGGUAAUACGGAGGGAGCUAGCGUUGUUCGGAAUUACUGGGCGUAAAGCGUACGUAGGCGGUUAUUCAAGUCAGAGGUGAAAGCCCGGGGCUCAACCCCGGAACGGCCUUUGAAACUAGGUAGCUAGAGUCUUGGAGAGGUUAGUGGAAUUCCGAGUGUAGAGGUGAAAUUCGUAGAUAUUCGGAAGAACACCAGUGGCGAAGGCGACUAACUGGACAAGUACUGACGCUGAGGUACGAAAGCGUGGGGAGCAAACAGGAUUAGAUACCCUGGUAGUCCACGCCGUAAACGAUGAUAACUAGCUGUUCGGGCACUUGGUGCCUGAGUGGCGCAGCUAACGCAUUAAGUUAUCCGCCUGGGGAGUACGGUCGCAAGNUUAAAACUCAAAGUGAAUUGACGG
rnacentral:rRNA from 1 species